AUGAGGAAUUGGAACAUACUAGAUUGUUUCUGUCUGCUAGUGGCAUUUAUGGGAAAACCAUCCAUCUUCCUUCUCGUUUGUCAGUCUGGACACCAUCCACGAACAUUUUUCUCCAUGAGGAUUUUCCAAAUGCUUUGUAGAUGUCAACAAUGGAAUCCUUCCAGCUGGAAUGAGUUUGUACUCUGUGCUGAAGUCACAGUUGGGGACUCAAAGAAAGAGCGACUUUUAACCUUUUGUGUUUUCUACUCUAAGGAAUGAACUCCUGGCUGCUCUUUCUUUCAGGAAUUAAUGUGUUUGGAUAAUUGUCUCAAAUGGGAGCUCGCCACAGGAGAGCAGGUGUAGGGGCUUGACUUUUGGCAGAGGCUUAGUUUAUUUGUCAUUUAUUCACUCAUGCAUUCAUUCAACAAACACUCCUUGAAUAUCUAUCCAUUACCCAACAGACUUUGGUAACAAUGCUAUCUGCAGACAGGUGAUGGAGGCUGGAGACUAUCACGUAUCAGGAGCAGGAAGAUGGAAGAAAUGAAUGACCAUGAGAGCUGAGUGUAAGGAUUCACAUCUGCCCUCCAAAAACAGAGAUACCAGCUGAGCAGAGAGGAAUGAAGGGCACGAAGAGAGGCCUGUGGUCCAAUCAGACCAACAAAGAAGAACUAGAAAGACUGGACAUCAUUGCACAGCAGACAUCCCAGAUCAAAUAAGCAGAGGCCAAGCAUGAAGACUGAAGAUUUGGGGCCUUGGAGGCAAGGACAGAUCCUGAAAAGGACAGCAAAGAAUUACAUGAGCCCAUCUUGAAUGUGACUCCUGGGAAAGCAAUGUAUUCUAAGCACUUUGUAUCCAAGAUCUGCUGCCUGAGUCUUGGAGAGAGGCCGUGAACUCAAGCAGGGCUGCCUGCGUGUGAAUCCCACGUGGAAGCUAGGUGACUUCAGGUAAGUGACUUAACUUUCCAGGACCACAUUUUCCAGAUCCUGAAACAGUGGUGACCUAAAAGUGCUUAGCUUAUAGGUUUGUAAUGAGGCCGAGGUGAGCUCAUACUUGCACAGCGUUCAAAACAGUGCCUGAUACAAAGUAAAUGCCUAUAUAAGAGUUUUUAAAUAAAAUUAAUGGACAGUGGAGGAAAGCAUUUCAUGACAAGGACUUAAUUCUUUUCAGUACCCCUAACCAUCCUCAUUUUUAGACAUUUACAAAUCCAUAUGACACCAUGGUCUUUCUUCUUCUUAAUUAUUCAUAUGUGGUUUCCACUAUGGCUUCCUUCCCCAACCAUGAUGACCACAGCCUCCUACUCCUCUUUCCCCAGCAAUGGGUACCUUCACUGUUGUGUCUUGUUGGUUGCAAGCCAAGCUGAAGCAUCGUCUAGGUGCUGGGCCAGGUAUUCAAACUUCACACAAAUCAGAACCUUACCUUUUGGCCUGCCCUGUGUUCUCAAGCUCUAACAUGCAAUAAUACCUCCCAGCUUCUCUAAAACCUCCAGACCUCUAAGCUGGUUACAUACCAGUGUGGUGCCGAGUUGUAUACCAAUCUGGCAACAUGUUGAUGCUUCCAUGCAUGGAUCCUCACAGCCAGGCUUCACAGCUCAGCAGGGGUCCUUGUGCCAUCUCUGCCUGAAGAUCAUUUUGCAUUUUUUAGCUGGUAUCCAGCGUGUUGACUAAGAACAAGAGGGAUUUCUUUGAAAGAACAAUCAGGACGCCCUAGCUCCCGGGGCCUUUUCCCAGCUCCCAAGCCUGGGAUGCAUUGCCACGGAUGGCCCGGUUCUUUGGUUGAAGGCCUAGGAAUGGUGCCAUCAUUUCAGCGGUUAAUAACAAAACAGAAAGAUAGACUGCAUGACUCAUGUACACUGCCACCUGCCGAGGCCUGGGAGCAAAGAUUUGGCAAGGACUAAGGAAGAGGACACAGAAUCUACUUUCUUUCCUCUUCUUUUUCUUUUACAGAAAGACUCUUUGUUUUUGCCAUUCUAUACACAAGCUAAACAGAUUACAGUCAAGAAAAAUGGGGGCAGGCCCAGGUGUCUAGGAGAUGGGAGAGAAUUUGCAUUCCAAUUGUAGAACGUAUCAAAAGGCGAUUCUUUCUGCCUCAAUUGGAAGGUGCAGCUCAGUUUGGGGGUGAUUUCAACAGGACCAUACCUUUUCUCUCCAAUUCAGACUGAGGGCACUCCAAGGAUGCCCUGGGGAAUCCUGGAAGGAAAGGGCAGCACCUUUAUGAAGGCAGAUGUUUUCAUUUCCUCCCCUCUAGAUCCUCGAAGGUUGAAAGAGGCUCAUGUUUUUUUUGGUUUUUGACUUCUAGUGUAUUCAAAAAUGGAGAAAUACCGUAAGUCAAUUGCAAAAUAAAUAAAUAAAUUUGAGUAUGUUAAAUGUUAACUUUUGUCAAAAUACCACAUUUAGUGUACACACACUACAGUGAUUGUGUGUGUGACUUCAUUUAUGGAUAACGUCAAAAGUUUGCAUUUAAGGAACAGGAUGGAAAUGAGGCUCCCAGCAGAUGGUUCCUGUGCACCGCCCCCAGCCAGAUGGUUCUGACAAGAUGCUUCUCAGAGAGAAUGCUUCCUCCCUCCACCACUACAUAAAUUGCCCCCUGGCCAGGCAUGGUGGCUCACGCCUGUAAUCCCAGCACUUUAGGAGGUUGAGAUGAAAGGAUCAAUUGAGGCCAGGACUUUGAGACCAGGCUGGCCAACAUGGGAAAACCCCAUCUCCACUAAAAAUACAAAAAUUAUCUGGGUGUAGUGGUGUGCACCUGUAGUCCCAGCUACUUGGGAGGCUGAGGCACAAGAAUCGCUUGCUGCAGGAAGUUGCAAUGAGCAGCGAUCGUGCCCCUGCCCCCCAGCCUGGGUGACAGAGCAAGACCCUGUCUUAAAAAUAUAAAAUAAAGAAAUAAAAUAAAUUGCCCCCCCAGUGAAAGACCCCCAUCCCUAAUUUGUCCGGCUCCCUAAGAAACAUUAUCUCAACUCCAACUCUUCCUUUUUUGUUUAUCUCAUUAAAAACAGACAAACAAACAAACAAACAAAACAAAACAACAAAAAAACAACUAUAGAACUCCAUGAGAGACUUCACUUAAAAGUAAAGUGUUCUGUGUUACUUUGGAAUAAGCCAGAGAAUCGAAGCCUCCCUAUCCUCUCCAGUCGGUGAGGUGGAGACCUGCGUUCAGACACCUCUGCCCCCCACACACUGAAACUCAGCUCCAGCUCUCUGUCUGCAUCGCCUCCUUUUUGCCCCCUCCACACAGACUUAUUUCAUAAAAAUGUCAGCUAUUAAGUUAACAUUAUUUAAGGGGCUUUGGGUUUUAGUUCCUGAAUGCAACUUAAGCUGGAUCCGUAAAGGCCUGACAUGAAGUCCCGGCUGUAUAAAACAUGAUCCACAGAGGUACUAAAUAAAUAACCUGGCUGUGGGCUUCCAGGCCGCUCCAUUUAUCACUGCAGUGAGGAUAAGGAUCUGAUUUAGAGUGAACCCUACUGAGGGUCGAACCCGGCACAAGCUGUAAUAUGAUCUUCAGGGGAGGGCUGAUAACCCGAAACAAUGUGAAGAAACCCUGUCAGAUAAAUAAAACAAACUGUUUGUCCAUUAAAUAGCACUGUCAGGAAGAGAACAGGGAAGCCAAACAGAGCUAAAUCCAAUUCUUUUAUAGCCACACAAAGCCAGGAACACCUGAACUAAGCUGGAGGAAAUAAGCUCCCUUAGAAAUAGGUUGUGGGGGGUGGUGUUUGGAUGGAAGGGGAUUGUGGUCUGAUUUAUUGAAGUUACUAUGGUAGGAAAAAUUGCUCUUUGAUCCAGGGCAAAUCCUGCCCCAUUCCUGGGUCUUGGUCUCCCCAUUUGUGAAAUGUGACCUGUUUGCUGGUCCUGCCCACCUUGCUGGAUCACAGAGGUGGACCCAUGGAAGAAUUACAGAAAAAGGAUUCUGAAGAAGAAGGGAAUGACUAUAUGAGGCUCAGAAAUGCAAGUGCCUACAGAGGCCAAGCUUGAAGCAGAAGCCCAGGGCAGCGGGGACAAGAGAAUGAGGGACUUAUCUCAAGGGGCCGAAGUCACCCGGCACCACCAAUGCUGCUGCACAGACAUACAGGCCCCUGCUGCCAACUCUGAAUUUUUUCAAAAGAAAAUAUAUGGUUGUUAAUGUGAAAUCCCAAGAAUUCUAGAUGUUGGAGAUAGUUAUUGUAUGAAUGUUUUUAGAAUACUGUAUGUGUUUCGUUGGAAAAUGGUGUGGGUAAGAUGUGACCUAUAGUCUGAAACCUGUAGACAGAAGCAAAACCAGGUGGAAUAUUUUUGUGAUGACCACGUUGCUACUGCUGUUGAUGCUGGACACAACCCCAAGACACAAAGGCAGCAGAAACAACAGUGCUCUUUCUCAAACCCACUGUUAGAUCUCCUGUAUGUUUGCCUCAGCUCUUUCAAAUUUUUGAUGUACUUUUACUGGAUCUGUGUGACAUCUCACUGAAUACUAUACCGAAUCUUCAAAGAACAAAGAUUCUCAUCAAUUGUGCAUGUUCUAACUGUCCUCUGAGCUUUCCAUUCCUAGAUAGAGAACACUAGUCCCUCCCCUGGCCAAUGCUUCUCAGUGGGAGUGCCACUGGCAUUUUGGACAGGCACUAAAUGUCUACAGUUCCCCUGAGGCCCAGGACAACCGAACAAUUGCCCUCACACUUUAAAAACAACAACAACAACAAAACCCAAACCAAAAACACUUUGAUACUUUACCUUUGUGGAAACCAGAGAGUCUCUUUGUCUAUCCUUGAAGACUGAUAUGGUUUGCCUGUGUCCCCACCUAAAUCUCAUCUUGAAUUGUAGCUCCCAUAAGUCUCAUAUGUUGUGGGAGGGACCCAGUGGGAGGUAAUUGAAUCAUAGGAGUGGUUUCCCUCAUACUGUUCUUGUGGUAGUGAAUAAGUUUCAUGAGAUCUGAUGGUUUUAUGAGGGGUUUUCCCUUUCACUUGGCUCUCAUUCUCUCUUGUCUGCCACCAUGCAAGAUGUGCCUUUUGCCUUCCAUCAUGAUUGUGAGGCCUCCCCAGCCACAUGGAACUGUGAGUCCAUUAGAGUUCUUUUUCUUUAUAAAUUACCCAGUCUUGGGUAUGUCUUUAUCAGCAGCAUGACGAUGGACUAAUACAAAGACCAAG
rnacentral:lncRNA from 1 species